AGCACUGAGCAGACUGUUUCCACAGCAGCCUCCAACUGCCCUGCAAGCAAAAAUGGCUGGGAUCCAGUGCUUUGGAAUUAGGUCAGGAAGAAGGGAGGAAACACACAGGUGGUCCUCCCGUGCUUGCAGGACAGCUAACAAACACUGUGGCUUCUCCCUUGGCUUCUGAGGUUCAAUCCAAUCAGUAGUUCUCAAGCUUGAGGGUGCAUGAGAAGCUCCCAGAGGGCGGUCACCGUGUCCUUUCCUG